UUUUCUCCCUGGGACAAACUUAAGACAUCUUAACCACCAUAAGAUCUGGAACACCCUAAGCCUAAUCAACUCCUGUGGACCUGAGAGGUUGUGUGGAGAAUGAAUGGGCAGGGCAGUAAGGAGAAACAUGGACUUACCCAUCACGAUACCAACCUCUCACUGUGUGGAUCAAGAAAACAUGGGAAGAGGUACAGUACAAUGCAAGCCCGCAGGUCACGGUCCUCGAGUGGAGAACAGCGCUGGUGUUCGUUUCGGUCAGAUGCUGACAAAUCCUCCUCUGUGCAAAGAUGCAGCCAAUUCAUGGAAUUUUCCGCCUUGACAAAUUAGAACAGACAUCGAGAGACAAAAACGGCUCCCCGAUUAAAGAGUAACGUCCUCAGUGGUCUUAUAGCAGACUUCUUACCCACAGUAAUGGCCAGACACAAUGGAGUAAUAUAUUAAAGAUCCUACGAGGAAGAUAACUGCCAAUAAAAAUUUUUGUAUCCUGCUGAACAGUUAUCCAAAUGCAAAUGACAAAAUAAAACCAUUUCUGGACAAUCAAGGAAUAGGAGAUGUUACUAUCUUCAAGUCAUAAGGUAUAAGUCAGAGGGAAAGUAAAACGAGAAGAAAUCAAUGGGAUGCAAAAGCAGUGGUAAGCCCCAAAUAUUUUAACAUAUAUUGUCCUAUUUCAUUAACUGCUUCUGCAUAUAAAAUAAUAUAAAAUUUUAUUUUUAAGAAUAUAGAACUAAGUUCUAGAGAAUUAUGUCAAGGAGGAUGGAAGAAAUUUAGUGUGCUGGUUAAUUAAGAUGUAAUCAAGCCUUAUUUUGUAUAGAGAGGUUGGUAGAGAUAUUGAAUAGUCUAAGAUAUUUUAAGAAAGACUUAUAGUGAGAGACAAAUAGAUCAACAGAUAUUAACCAGGGCAUAUAUUAUACAAGGGUGCAGACCUACAUUUUUACAACACCCAGCCCAAGGGGUGCCUGGGUGGCUCAGUGGGUUAAAGCCUCUUG